GAAAAGCUGACCAGAAGUAGUGCUUCUCUCCGCGGUGAACCACAAACACAGCUCGGUGAUAAAGUGGCGGUGGACAGACUGACUUCAUUGCACAAUUUUAGUUACUCGGUGCACCUCAGCAGCUUCUCAGCAGUGGAUCCUCUGCAAGCCUGGAUCUCCUGCUUCAGUGUACAAAAUAUGACUUUGGAGCAGCAUCUUCAUAGCAUGCUGCUUGCCUGUUAGGUUGGGAUUAUCUGUUCGCUCCGCAGCAAUAUGAGCGACUUGACAGAGUUUGAAAGAUGCCAAAUAGUUGCAGCACGACUAUCGGGUGCAUCUGUCACAAAAACUGCACAGAUGUUUAACGUGGCGAGAGGAACAGUCUCCAGAGUCAUGACUAUUUACGUCAAACACGGACGAACAGCAUCAGCCAAGAACAACUGUGGGCGCAAGUCAAAGCUCACCGAAAAGGAUAGACAGACACUUCUCAGGAUAGUUGAUGAGCACCCCGAGUAUACAGCCUCAAAAAUAACCACAGAGUUGAACAGACACGUGUCCCACACCGUCUCGGUAAAGACUAUAAGGCGUGAGCUUCACAAGGCUGGUAUUUUUAGAGGAGCAACCGUUUGGAAACCAGAGAUCGAGACUGACACACAAAAGCCAGAUGGAAAGAACACUGAAAUAGAUACAAAAAAA